ncrna:unclassified sequences type-P1 twister ribozyme
UGCCUAAUGCAGCCGAAGGACUGUCACAAGCCAGUGAAAAUGCAGAGUGGGCA